AUACAUAGCAAACUGAAGAAAAUAGGAUAAACCUUGGUAUAACCAAAAGACAGAACAUCAAAGAUAUAGUAGUAAGAUUCUGAGAUUUAUUUCUGAUUUCCUUGCUUUUCUGAUACUCUACAGUUUCAUCAUUCCAAUUUCAUUAUAUGUAACAGUUGUAAUGCAGAAAUUUCUUAGAUUAUUUUUUAUUGGCUGGGCUCUUGAUCUCUGUCAUGAGGAAUCAAAUCAGAAAGCUCAAGUCAGUACUUCCGAUUUGAAUGAAGAACUUGGACAGGUGGACUAUGUGUUUACAGAUAAAACUGAAACACUGACAGAAUAUGAGAUGCAGUUCUGGAAAUGUUCAAUUAAUGGCAUAAAAUACCAAGAAAUCAGUGGUAAGACUUGUACCUGAAGGACCAACACCUGACUCUUCAGAAGGAAACUUUUCUUAGUGGUUUAUCCUACCUUAGCAGCUUAGCCCAUCUUACAAGGUAAUUCUGAAGACAUUAUGGAAAUUAAAAUACUUGGAAAACUGGAAUGGUAAAAACUGCUUCAUGUUCUGGAAUUUGAUUCAGAUUGUAGGAGAAUGAAUGUAAUUGUUUAAGCAUGUUCAGGUAAGAAGCUUUUAUUUGCUAAAGGAGCAGAAUUCUUCCUAAUUCUUCCUAAUUGCAUAGGUGGAAAAAUAGAGAAAACCAGAAUUCAUGUAGACAAAUUUGCUUUGAAAGGGCUAAGAACUCUGUGUUUAGCUUAUAGACAGUUUACACCUAAAGAUUAUGAGAAGACAGAUGCUUUUUUGAAGCCAGGACUGCCUUGCAGCAGUGGGAAGAGAAACUGCUGAAGUCUUCCAGUUCAUAGAGAAAGACCUGAUAUUACUUGGGGCUACAGCAGAAGACAGAUUACAAGAUAAAAGUUCGAGAAACUAUUGAAGCGUUGAAAAUAGCUGGUAGCAAAGUAUGGGUACUUACUGGAGAUAAACAUGAAACCACUGUUAGUGUGAGUUUAUCAUGUGAACAUCUUCAUAGAAUUAUGAACAUCCUUGAACUUGUUUUGUUUUGUUUUGGUUUUGGUACCAGGGAUCGAACUCGAGACCUUGCGCUUGCGAGGCAGGUGGUAUCACCACUAAGCUAAAACCCCGGCCUGCCAUCCUUGAACUUAUUAACCGGAAUUCAGACAACAAAUGCACUGAACAGGUGAAGCAGCUUGCCAGAAGAACUGGGAUCAUGUAACUCAGUAUGGGCUGGUAGUGGAUGGGACCAGGCUAUCUAUUACACUCAGGAAGCAUGAAAAUCUAUUUAUGGAAGUUUGCAGAAAUUGUUCGGCUGUAUCAUGCUGUCGUAUGGCACCACUGCAGAAAGCAAAAAUUUAGCAAGAAACACACAGCAUACAAAUGUGAAGGAGGAAGCUGGGAAAGAAUGGAGCAAGCUAUUUCUUUCCUAGUGGAUCCCAGUCACAUCUGACCAGGACUCACAGGAGCUGAAGUCAGGCCGGCUAUGCUGCUGCAACCCUCUGCUCAGAGCCUUUCUCUCCCUUGUCAUCCAGCAGAAACAGUCAAGGAGUCUCUCAGGACUCUGGUAUCUGGCCCAAAGCCCAAGUGCACUAGCUCACUUUAACUGAGCAUCUUUGCAUCAGUUCCUCUCACCGCCAAGUCCCAUGGGAUGGAUCCUGCUGCAAGAGCUUGUAGCAAGCAGUGACCAAAGCUUUGUCCUGAGAAAAACAUCACUUUGUCCCUCAAAGUUUCUCACAGCAAAACCCCUGGGAAACAGCUCCACUGAGGAGUCAGCCCUGGCAUUCGGGGCACAUCUAGCAAAAUGUGCAGGAGGGCUGAGGGGAGGCUCCCUAAUCCACACAGGGAGUUCUGGCAGUAAUGAUCACAAAUGCAGCAGCCAAUGCAUGGUGGUGCACACCGGAAAUCCCAGCACUCUGGGAGGCUGAGGCAGGAGGAUCUGAAGUUCAAGCUCAGUCUGGCAAUUUAGCAACUUAGCAAGACUGUCUCAAAAUAAAAAAUAAAAAAUGGUGGUAGGGAUGUAACUUAGCAUAAAGGCUCUGUUCAACCCCCAGCACCAUAAAACAAAAAAACCACACGCACACAUACACCCUCAAGCACACCUUUUGACUUAGCAAUUCCACCUUCAGCGAUCUGUAUUGCAGAUUUACUUUCACAUAUAUAAUUAUGGUAACAAGUUCAUUUAUUCUAACAAUAUAAUAGGAAAUGAUCAGAAACAACUAAUUAUGAGUACCAGACUGGUUUGAUUAUGCCUUCUCAAUGGAAUACUAUAUGGUAAAAAUAAAGAAUGAAGAGAUCUGGAGAUGCAGCUCAGUGGCAGAGUACUUGCCUGGCACGUAGGGAGCCCUACCCAGCAAACAACACAAAAGUUUCCAUAUUGAUACAGUUGCCAACACACAUUGCCCAUUGAAGAAAACAGAUGCAAAAAAAUCCCAAAAAUGUACAUAAUAUUCUAUUUCUGUAAGUGGCAAAAAAAUAGGCAUUUCCUUAUGAUGUGUACUACAUAUAAUUUUAUUUCAGGAUUCACAACUACUAUCAUUUGUCUUCAGGGAGAUGAAAAUGAUUGGAAAUUAAGUAGGAAACUUUUCUUUCCUUUUAUAUUUUCAUUUUUAAAACAUGUGAAUGCACCCAUUCAAAAGACUAGCCCAAAGUAAACUAGAUUUUCCACGUUUCUUAAUACCGUCAUCAUUAUUUUUAACCAUUUUAGGCAGAAGUUUGUACCCUGUGCUUGUCCUAUUUCACUGUGUUAUGAUGUAGGGAAAUUAGCUCCUAGUUAUGACUUAUCAACUACCAUAUAUACUUGUUACCCUGCUUAAUCCAUUCAACAAUCCUAAAGAGGCAUAUUUUGUCAUUUUACGGAAGAGAAAGUGUCAUUGCACAACAGCUGGUGUGGACUCUGCUUUCCCACAUCCUGAGCCCUUCCUUCCUAAGAUGAAGCCUGUUGGGGAGGAGCAUUUCCCUACCUCUGGUGAUAGUGGCUCUGUCAGCAGCUCGCAGACCUGGCUAUGUGUGAAUCACCAGGGGCGAGGGGGUUUGCAACAUGCUGGUAACAGCAAGAUUCAAAUUCCAACACACGACGCCAACCACAGAAUUUGGAUUCAAAGUUUUAAUAAUAAAUUGUGCCAAUAGAAGCUUUUCAAAGGCAAUGAUAUAUCAAUAAAUAAUAGUUAAACUGAGUUCCUGAGAAAGAACCUACCACAUAAAAGUAUGUCAGAGAGCUGUAAAUAACAACAUGGCUAUUACUAUAAAA